UGUCGAUCUUGGCUACAGUUUCGGUUUCCAGUUUUUGGUCACCUAUAUCUGCCGGUCAUCACCAUUGGUAUACGGUAGUUUCUUUGGAACAACAACACACAUGUCAUCCACCCACCGAUAACUACUGCCCUGCCCCAAAUCCAGCUCCUGCGACAAAAGAAAUCGAAAGCGGCAACUGAUUCCCUGAAUCGUCACUCCAGAAAUACAAAGGGGUCGUUAGCUCAUGGAAGAAGAAGAAGGCUUGCACGAAGAACAUCCAUGUUUCAGUCACAUGAAUUGGCUAUCUAAGACACACCUCCAUGGGGUUAUGAACUAAGUUGGGACGGCGAAAAGAAGAGAAGGCGAUUCAGGCGGGGUAAUGAACUAGGUUGCGGCAUCGAAAAUAAAAGAAGGCGAUUUCAGCAGGAAACAGUGUUACGACUGGAUCUGAGAAGGGCCAGAAGACCUUGAAGAUAUGUUUAUUGUCUGCAUUUUCACAAUUUAUCUGAAAUCAAUCUCCAUUUGGGAGUUGGUGGUCGUUUGAUUUUAAGAAAAUCAGUGUCUAAAACUUCUUAUAGUGAUAAAUUUGUGUCGUGUGAAAGAGGUUCCAACUUCAAAACCAUGGUUCACUCUCAAUAAUGGUGUCUAAAGUUUGUAUUUUUGGUUUUCCCAAUUGUAUUUGCUUUGUAUAGCUGCUAUACCUUCUUUAGUGACUUGAGCAAAAUGAAUUUUGGUCUUUGUUUUUUCUUUGUA